AUGAGGAUCAUGAUACUAUAAGUGGCUUGAGUGAGCCCACACCAUCUGCCCUCAUUCACAGUGUUGGUGGUCACCGAGCAGAGGUUGCAUGGGGUACAAUUUAUCCAAGGCAAUUUGAGCUACAUACAGUUCCCAUUCAACUAGAAUGUGCAGUGGUCAAAGUGGAGCUUGUAGCUGAGUGGCCUGAUAUUGUGCUUCCAUUCCCUCCGAAAUGAGAUCUCAAAACUUGGAGAGGCUGUCUUGCAAAGGAUACAGUGGCCGAGGAUUGAUAUUGUUGUUAGGUCAAAGCAAGUUUCUUCACAAACUGUGGCCAAGGCAAUCACAAAGAGUGCAUCAGAUGCAUCCAAGCUCCCUACAAAGGAAUCUGAAUCUGUUGGUGCUACCAAGAGUGCUACCAAGAGUGCUCCAAUCACUGCUGCAGCCAAGAGUGCUCAAAUCACCACUGCAGCCAAGAGUGUUACAAACACCGCUGCUGCACCCAAUGAUGCACCCAAUGCUACCAUCACUGCUGCACCCAAGAGUGCACCCAAGAGUGUUGAAAAAGUUGCAGCUAGCGCAGACAAGAUUGGAGCUGCCAACAGUGGGACACAAAAGGGUUCAAAAAAGCAGGAGGCCAUUAAAAGGUAUAAGGAGGCUGCCGGUAGGAAGCAGCCUAAGAAGAAAGGUGUUGCGUCAACAUGGACUUAGGAGAACCCAAAAUACAGCUAUGGACGAACAUUGUUGAUAGCUGCUGAACUUGAGAAUGCUGGACCUGCAACCACUUCACUCCAUAAUUACUACAUGCAAUGUUGUGCAGAAAAAAUGAAAUAUAUAGUGGCCUCAUACAAGCGUGUGCAUUUUCUGCGAGAAGCUGAAGAGGAGUGUUACCUUUUGUAUUUCAAUGACUUAUAUGACCUCUUCAAUCUCGAUGCGUUGGAUGUGUCUUUACUCCGCAGCUUCACACUGUGCAUGAUCAAGGAAAUAAAGGCAAAGUCUGUGCCCGUGGGCUUCCUUGAUCCACAGAUGAUGUCCUUGAGUACCAUGAAUCAAGAUAGAUCUUAUGUGGUGGAUUAUAUGACAAAGGCUAUGCAAAAAAUGGCUAGGAAGAAACUUAUCAUGUUUGCUCAUAACACAGUUGGCCACUGGAUUUUAGUGGUUAUCAUUCCAAAGUGGAGAAAGGCACUGUACUUUGAUUCUCAAAGAUCCAAGGCAUGUGAUCACAGUGUAUUGAAACAGGCCCUUGAUGAGGCUUUUCUUUCAUACUGCACAAUGAAGAAGAUAGACACCAGCACGAGCUUGCAACAUGUCACAAAGUUCCC